rnacentral:rRNA from 1 species
GAUGAAUGCUGGCGGCGUGCUUAACACAUGCAAGUCGAACGAAGCACCUUGAUUCGUUUCUUCGGAUGGAGAUCUUGGUGCCUGAGUGGCAGACGGGUGAGUAACGCGUGGGUAACCUGCCUCAUACCGGGGGAUAACAGUUAGAAAUGACUGCUAAUACCGCAUAAGACCACAGCACCGCAUGGUGCAGGGGUAAAAACUCCGGUGGUAUGGGCUGGACCCGCGUCUGAUUAGGUAGUUGGUGGGGUAACGGCCUCCCAAGCCGACGAUCAGUAGCCGAGCUGAGAGAGUGACCCGCGACAUUGAGACUGAGACGCAGUCCGAACUCCUACGGGAGGGAGGAGUGGGUAAUAUUGCACAAUGGGGGGAGUCAUGAUGGAGCGAGGACGGGAGAGCGAUGAAGUAGUGCGGGAAGUAAAGCUCUAUCAGCAGGGAAGAAAAUGACGGUACCUGACGAAGAAGCACCGGCUAAAUACGUG